rnacentral:rRNA from 1 species
GACGAACCGUGCGAACGUUAUUCGGAAUUAUUGGGCGUAAAGGGUAGGUAGGUGGUCUCAUUUGUCUGGGGUGAAAGCCUUGAGCUUAACUCAAGAAGUGCCCCAGAAACGGUGAGACUAGAGUCCUGGAGAGGGUCGUGGAAUUCCCGGUGUAGCGGUGAAAUGCGUAGAGAUCGGGAGGAACACCAGAGGCGAAGGCGGCGACCUGGACAGGUACUGACACUCAACUACGAAAGCGUGGGGAGCAAACAGG